AAACUUUCAACAACGGAUCUCUUGGUUCUGGCAUCGAUGAAGAACGCAGCGAAAUGCGAUAAGUAAUGUGAAUUGCAGAAUUCCGUGAAUCAUCGAAUCUUUGAACGCACAUUGCGCCCCUCGGUAUUCCGGGGGGCAUGCUUGUUCGAGCGUCAUUAC
rnacentral:rRNA from 2 species